UGGAAGACUAGUGAUUUUGUUGUUCUAAGCAUUAAAACUGACAACAAGUCACAGUCUACCUCA
rnacentral:pre_miRNA from 1 species